UCAAACACUUAAUUGCUCAUCUACAGUCUUAGUCAGCACAUAACAAGGCUAGCCAAUGGCUUUCCUGCCUUUUUUGCUUAACCGGUCGAGGUUACCAAUAUGCUCAUACAAUUUUUUUCUCUUUUGGCCUCUAACACUUAAAUCAGUUAAAAAAAAGGUAUUAAUGCAUGUAUAUUGAUAAAGAAAAUCAGUCGAAAAAAAAAAAAAAAAAAAGUACUUUUUUUUCUAUUUUGAUCUGUAACACUUCAAACACUUAAUGGCUCAUCUACAGUCUUAGUCAGCACCUAACAAGGCUAGCCAAUGGCUUUCCUGCCUUUUUUGCUUAACCGGUCGAGGUUACCAAUAUGCUCAUACAAUCUUUUUCUCUUUUGGACUGUAACACUUAAAUCAGUUAAAAAAAAAAAAAAAAAAAGUAUUUAUGCAUGUAUAUUGAUAAACAAAAUCAGUAAAAAAAAAAAAAGUAUUUAUGCAUGUAUAUUGAUGAACAAAAUCAGUUAAAAAAAAAAAAAAAGUACUAUUUUUUUCUAUUUUGGCCUGUAACACUUCAAACACUUAAUGGCUCAUCUACAGUCUUAGUCAGCACCUAACAAGGCUAGCCAAUGGCUUUCCUUCCUUUUUU
ensembl:lncRNA